UAUAUUAUAGUUUAAUAAAAACAUUAAAUUGCAAAUUUAAGGAUAUUUGGGUUAGAUUAAUAUAU
rnacentral:tRNA from 1 species